UGGGGAAUUUUGCGCAAUGGGCGAAAGCCUGACGCAGCGAUGCCGCGUGAGUGAAGAAGGCCCUUGGGUUGUAAAGCUCUUUCGGCCGAGAAGAAGGGUCUGCCGGCAAAUAGUCGGCGGGUUUGACUGUAUCGGAAGAAGAAGCACCGGCUAACUCCGCGCCAGCAGCCGCGGCAAUACGGAGGGUGCAAGCGUUGCUCGGAAUCAUUGGGCGUAAAGGGCGCGUAGGCGGGCGCAUAAGUCGAUUGUGAAAGCCCCGGGCUUAACCUGGGAACUGCAGUCGAUACUGUGUGUCUUGAGUGCUUGAGAGGGUACUGGAAUUCCUGGUGUAGAAGUGAAAUUCGUAGAUAUCAGGAGGAACACCGGAGGCGAAGGCGGGUACCUGGUGAGCUACUGACGCUGAGGCGCGAAAGUGCGGGGAGCAAACAG
rnacentral:rRNA from 1 species